AUUCUUCUUCUCUCAUUCCAACCCGGCCAGCGCACUGAGUGGAUCGCCCUCAGGACCGACACCCGUAACGACAAAGUAGUGGACGCGUCCGACUUCGAAACCAGCGUAAAAUAUUUACUCAAAGGAGAAAUCUAUACGUGUCAAUUCCUAGUCACAAAAAAGGACUACCUUUUUUCCAUCUCCUUGGUUUGGAUUUUUUGGGGGGCCGCCAUAAGCUUUUAACUCCACCCGAACUGAGCCUCCCUCUCUCUUUCUGUUCGAACUCAAAAUGGAGAACGGCGACAACAAAUAUCUCCCUCAGCUGCUGGCGGAGAAGGACAGUCUGGACUCGUCUUUCACGCACGCCAUGAAACUUUUAGAAGCAGAGAUUGACAGGAUCCAGAAGGGCGAGGCUAAGGAGCCAGAGACCUACCUGGAUCUUUUCACGAACAAGUUCAUCAAACUCAAGGAGCGGGUCCUCAUACCUGUGAAACAGUACCCCAAGUUCAAUUUCGUGGGCAAGAUCCUGGGACCCCAAGGCAACACCAUCAAGCGUCUGCAGGAGGAAACCGGGGCCAAGAUCUCCGUGUUGGGCAAGGGCUCCAUGCGAGACAAAGCUAAAGAGGAAGAACUGAGGAAUGGCGGCGAGCCAAAAUAUGCCCACCUGACCAUGGAGCUGCACGUGUUUGUCGAAGUGUACGCCCCCCUGCCCGAAGCCUACCUGCGCAUGGCCCACGCCAUGGAGGAAGUCAAGAAGUUCCUGUUUCCUGAUGUGACCGACGAUAUCUGCCAAGAGCAGUUCAUGGAGAUGGGCUACCUCAAUGGAGGCCAGGAGCUCGGGGCCAGAGGAAGAGGAGGCAUGCCAAUUCGGGGACGCGGCGGGCCCCCGGGAGUGCACAGGGGAAGGGGGAUGCCCCCUCGUGGCGCAGCUCGGGGUGCGAGAGGAGCAGGAAGGGGCACCCCGGCAGCCCGCGGAGGGCCCGCCGCCGCCAGGGGAGCUGCGGCGCCCCGCGGUGCCAGGCUCUCUGCCGCCGGACCGCCCCAGAGAAUGCUGCCCCACCAGCACACUCCCGCCGCGGUCGCAGAGAGCUAUCAGGAAUAUGCCUACGAUGAAAGCUACGCCGACACCACCUACCAGUCAUACGACAGCUAUUACAGCCAGCCGCAGGCAGAGGCAGAAUAUUAUGACUACGGACACGGAGAGUCUGCAGAGUCAUAUGAAAACUUUGCCCAGGAUGACUGGAACGGCACCCAGCGAGCGGCUCCGGGCAAAGCCGCGCCGGCGGCCAGAGGAGGUGCCAAGACGGCCUACAGGCAGCACCCGUACCAACAGUACUGAAGCGGAGCCGCCCUCCCCCUUACAGGGUUGCCCUGACGAGCGCCUGUCGACAACGGCAGCACUCGCUUUAAGCAGCCCGACACAAGAUCUAGGCCUCGUUGUCAUGAAUGACACACUAAUGGCAGUGCAAUGGAGAGGAGGCUUUUAACCUAGACAACUCGACUGUAAAGGUAACCUAACCCUAAAUGUUUAAUUUGGUAGUGUGCUUUUUUUUUUUUUUUUUUUUUUUUUUUUUUUUUUUUUUGUUUUGGGGGGGGGGGUUUGUUUUUUUUUUGGGUCCUUUGACAUAAACUUGCUUUAAAAGUAGUAACCCAAGACAAAAAAAAAAGAAUCAAAAAGUUAAGGGAAAAAAAUCAACAUCAAUGUAUUUUAUGUACUAAAAUAAUUGCUCUGUGUACUAACCAACCAUCAGGCUAGUGGUAAUGCAACUCUUGCUAAAAUGAUGAAAGCCAAAUCUGAGUCCAUAGCUGUUUUUGUAAUAUU